AUUAAUAAGCGGAGGAAAAGAAACUAACAAGGAUUCCCCUAGUAACGGCGAGUGAAGCGGGAAUAGCUCAAAUUUGAAAUCUCCGGCGCUUGCGUCGGCGAGUUGUAGUUGCGAGAAGCACUUUCUCGGCGGAUCGGGCGCGCCUAAGUUGCUUGGAACAGCACGUCGCAGAGGGUGACAACCCCGUCUGUGGCGCGGCCGGCCGCUCACGAUGUGCUUUCGAAGAGUCGGGUUGUUUGGGAAUGCAGCCCAAAACGGGUGGUAAACUCCAUCUAAAGCUAAAUAUUGGCGUGAGACCGAUAGCGAACAAGUACCGUGAGGGAAAGAUGAAAAGAACUUUGAAAAGAGAGUUAAAAAGUACGUGAAACCGUUGAAAGGGAAACGAAUGGACUCAGCAAUGCGCCGUUUGAGAUUCAGCCGGCCGGUGGGUUCGGCCCGGGGUUUGCGGAUCCGAAUGGACCGCGGUCUCGGGCCCGUUCUUUCCCGGCCGUCGCACUUCUCUUGGGCGCGCGUCAACGUCGGUUGGGACUGGGUCUGAAAGGUGCCGGGAAGGUAGGUCCGUGCGCCCCCUCGGGGGCGUUCGUUCUGUUACAGCCCGGUUCUCUCAUGGCUCGGGCCCGACCGAGGCGGUUCGCAGCGCAUGCCUCUUGUGGCUAGGGUCCCGUCCGUCCGGCCGGUCGUCUACCGCGGUGGACUGCUUGCAGUGCUCCGCGACCGCUGCCGGUCGUUUGGGCGGUGAUCUCGUACCAUGCGCUUUGGAUGUUGGCGG
rnacentral:rRNA from 1 species